GGUCCCAUUCCUUCCAACAAAGCAUUUCAAAAUGCUUCCAUGGAAGCAUUUCAAGGGAACAAGGGAUUGUGUGGGGAUGUCCCAGGACUCACACCAUGCAAUUCUUGGACCAACAAACGUACUACCUCCAGUAGGAGCCAUAAAAUGUUGUUUCUAAUAAUUUUCCUCCCUAUUUGCGGAGCUUUUUCGCUUCUCAGUUUCUUGGGAGUUUUCUUCUUCUGUCGAAAAAGAAAUGAAGAUCCAAAAACAGAACAAAGUGAUCAAGGGGAUGAAGAAUCAUUUUCAAUUUCGAGUUCUGAUGGAAGAAUCAUGCAUGACGAAAUCAUAAAA
rnacentral:misc_RNA from 1 species